AAACCAUGGUGAGGACAUUGUAUUAAAAUAUUAUUGAACCGUUCCCAAGCUUCUGAAAAUGACUCAUUGGUUGUUAACUAAAUUGCAUGAUUUUAUCCCUUAGUGC
rnacentral:snoRNA from 1 species